GGCGUAGGUGGCGAACGUUAUCCGGAAUUAUUGGGCGUAAAGGAUGCGUAGAUGGUGUAGUAAGUUAUCGGUGGCAAAUCGAGGCUCAACCUCGUGGAAGUCGGUAAUACUGCUAUGCUAGAGGAUAGGAGAGGUUAACGGAACUCCCUGUGGAGCGGUGAAAUGCGUAGAUAUAGGGAAGAACACCAAUCAGGCGAAGGCAGUUAACUAUUCUAUUCCUGACAUUGAGGCAUGAAAGCGUGGGGAGCAAAACGG
rnacentral:rRNA from 1 species